rfam:Felis catus isolate Cinnamon breed Abyssinian chromosome C1, whole genome shotgun sequence.
GCCUGGGUGGCUCAUUUGGUUGAGCGUCUGACUUCGGCUCAGAUCGUGAUCUCACAGUUUAUGGAUUCAAGCCCCACAUCAGGCU